rnacentral:tRNA from 1 species
AGGGAUUUAGCUUAGUGGUAGAGCGAUCGUUUUACACACGAUCGGCAUGGGUUCGAUUCCCGUACUCCUUAGCA